rnacentral:rRNA from 1 species
UACGACGGGGGCUAGCGUUGUUCGGAAUCACUGGGCGUAAAGCGCACGUAGGCGGACUCUUAAGUCAGGGGUGAAAGCCUGAGGCUCAACCUCAGAAUUGCCUUUGAUACUGGGAGUCUUGAGUGUGACAGAGGUUGGUGGAACUGCGAGUGUAGAGGUGAAAUUCGUAGAUAUUCGCAAGAACACCAGUGGCGAAGGCGGCCAAAUGGGUCAUGACUGACGCUGAGGUGCGUAAGCGUGGGGAGCAAACAGG